GCAUGUUUUUUCUUUUUGCUGCGUUGGUUGCUUUUUGUUUUUUCUCUUCCAGCUUUGACUUGCUGACCCAAGACGAGUCGCAUAAUUCAUCAUGCAUUCAUCUGAUUCAUGGACACCUGUGAUGUAAACAUAAAUGUCUGUAAUUAUACGAGAAGUGCCUUGUCUGUGGAUUGCUGUGUCUAGAGAUCAAUGAUUCUCUACAUGGGAUGAAGAAUUUAUGAUCAUUUACUCGUACAGUACAUCUCUACAAUUUGAUCUUGAAAGCCUUAUAUUGUAUUUUUAGGACUUAAACAGAUCAAUUGAGUUUUGCUUGUUAUUAUUUAAAAUUGAAAUAUUUAUUUUUACUCACUGACAAUUCUGAAUAGAGAAUUAUCUCAGACUAUUCUAAAAAGUCUUAUAUGUUUAAAAGAUAUAGAAACAACUGCAAAUGGCUCCAAUACCAUAGUAAUGAAGUUACAAUAUAGAAAGAUGUAUUUAUGUUAGUCAGUUAAUAAUUAAUGCAAUGUCUGUGGGUUAAAAGCCUUUGAUUUCUCUAGGAUUUCACAAUACGGAUGCAUAUCUAGCUUGGGUUUGUUUCUUAAAUUGACAUGGAAAUCUAGCAUUUUGUUGAGAUUUUAAAUAAGAAAAGGGUAUAAAUAUUAGUUAUUGGAAUGCUGCAAAUAUUUUCUGCAACCCUGCAGCAUAACAUCUAUCUGCAAGUAAAGCUUAUACAUCUUAAAAAGGAAAGAAUAUUUAAUAGGAUGUUGGUGCUAUGAAUAUGCUGCAAACCCUACGUUUUUUUCGUUACCUUCGGAUUAUGUUAUUCAUUUAAACUGCAAUUUUAGAACUUCUAUUUUAAAUUCAAAACUAUAAACAUGAGCUUUCUGAGUUGUUUUCGGUUGCACUAACGCUGCAUUCAUAAGUCCUCAUAUAGACUUUGUGAUAAUAGGGACCCCCCCGAAAGCUAGCUCAUUUCCACUGUUUAUUGUUAGCCAUGACAAAACUGAUAAAGACCUUAUUAAUGGCAUAAAGAAGAAGCUUAUCUCUGAGUAUCAUCGUAUCAUCUUGCUUUUUCUAGCUUUUAUAAUAUUUUUUGCUCUGACUUCACACAGAAUUGGAUGUAGCCAUAUCCGUAUAUGAUUAUGGAAAGUAGAGAAUCUGAUCUGUUUUUCAUAGUUUGGUUCCAUAAUGUAUCAUCAGAAUGUAGGAUAUCUGUUAAAUUAAAUAGAUGCUAUUAUAUUCUCAUAAACAUUUAAUUAAUACAGCUUCUUUAAUAUAACACCUUUGAUGCUAAUGCAACAGAUUUUAUUUUUAGACGUACUUACAGAUAAUAUUACUUUUAGAAAAUAUAAUUUUCAACAAACUUGUCUAAGCAAUCUGUUGAAAACCAGAGAUUUAAAAAAAAAUACUAUUCUUUUAAUGUCUAUGCUAUAAACUGGAAAAUUCAUAGGUUUCAAUAAUAUAGUCUACUAUUAUGUGGCAAGGUGCUUUAUACUGGUCUUAACUUUAGCGAGUUUUUAAAUGAUCUACAGAUGUUUUGUUUGAGCAGAUGAUCCUGGAAAAUGCAGUUUUCUUUAUGGGAAUAAUUAGCAACUAUAAGUGAGAAUGCAUAUUCAAUCAAAACAGCCUUUCAAACUCAUUGAUGCUCCAAGACAAUUAGGCUAAUUACCUCUGCAAUGUCAUGUGUGCCUAUUUAAUUGUUUAUUUUUUUUAUUAUGCUCGAAUUAGUAGAAUACUCAUCUGCUGCAAACAAUGAGGGGAUUUGCUAUUGUUAGUAUCUCUUGAGGUUUUAUGAAGAAGAUUCUAGUGAUUGCUAAUGAAAGGAUCUUGAGCAAAGCAUGCUAAUUAAAUAGCCCUUAAAAAAAAGAUAUCAAUGGCUAUCUAAUGGAAGGUUCCGGAAAUGCAUAUUGGUAACAUCAUGUUCAAGCUUAUUAGUUUUCUGGCUUUUAAUGUUCCAUUUGUGUUCAGCUUUUUCAGAAACUAUAAGUGGGAGAAACCUUGUUGCAAAUGAGAUAGAUUUGUUGUGUUAUUGUUAGCAUUCCCUAUGCUUCACACAGAUAGUACAUUGUGGUCUCUAAUGCAUUUCGGAUCAAUUAGGUAAAAAGCCUAUUUGGAACUCUGACUUCAAGCUAGGCCAGAUCACUGCUCAUUCAGCUGACUUCGUUUUAUUUUCCAUUUAUUUGUUAGUGUGAAUCAUAUCUGGAGCAUUUAUAUCUGGAAAGAUUUAAAAUUCAAGGACAAAAGUUUGUAUGAUAGCUGGAAAAGCCAAAUGUGUUGUGAUAGAAGCACUAAAAAGGUGCUAUAUGCAAUUAUUUGAUAAAUGAUGAAGAUAAACGGAAACUAAAUGAUAAGUUUUAACACUAUGACUAUAAGAGAUUACUUAUAGUUUUUCUUAUUAGAUAGCUUACUUUCUUCCUUUAUUUUAAUACAUUAAGGAACAAUCAUUGGGGUCUUCUUUUUUAUGAGGUGCAUGCAAAUAAUCUUUUAAUUUAAAUGGAAAUGGGUUAAAUAUAAGUCAGUUAGUAAUCCAGUCUAUAUUGGUAUUAUCUAAAUAUUCCAAUAUAAAAUAUCUCAGCUGGCAGUGUUUUUUAAGCAUGUCAAGUAGUUAGUGGAGACCUCUCGACAUUAAGCUACAGGAGACGAGUCUUUUUAAUACAAUGAGACUGCAGUAUUUUUGUUCAGAGAGAGAGGGGGGAAACAUGACCAAUUAAACAAGUUUAGGAUAAUACUACAGUGCUCAUUUUUAUCUAAUUACUUGGAAAAUCUGCACCUUUAACCACUAGAUUUAUUUUAAAAAUUGGAAAUACAUAUUGUAGUUGGAUUUAUUCCACCCGUUCUUAAACAAAAGAGAUGCACCAUCCUUUCCACUACUAGUAAUUACUAUCUGGUAUCCAGAGGUUAUAAAAAAAUUGGCUCUGCUCAUGCUGUGAGCAUAGCAAUUAUGGGUCAGAUAAAAUAUAUGUAGUCAUUUCAGGGCAGAACUACUUUGCUCUUUAAACUCUUUAUCUUCUGUAUAUUGUAAUAGUGUCAGUUAUAAAAAAAUCUCACAUAUUCAUGCUGUGAAAAUGACAAUUAGAGGUCAGAAUUAAAGGAAAGGAAUAGUUACUUCAAGGUUAUGCUAUUCUGCACUUUCAACUUUUCAUCUUAUGAAGAAUACCAUUAAGCUCUCUGCAAAUUAAUCACCACUAUAAUCUCUAGAAUAAUAAGGAUUUUGAAGUACACGUUUUGAAAUAAUUGGCACUUUUGUUCUCUGCACACCCUACUCGCUAGUUAUUAUUUUUGAAAUGCAUCUUUCUGUGUUUGAAAGAAAUGUUGGUGAUAUGUUUAUUAUUAUUGUUAUUAUUCAUUAUUUAAUUUCAACAUUGGCAGAGUGAGUUUCAUAAUAAAUGCCCAAGCAAUAAACAUAGUAUAAUAAAUAUUAAAAAAAUAUCUAUAGUAAAUACAAUACUGCAGAUUUCAUUACAUUUAGUGGACGAUGGUUCAUAUUUAAUUUUUUUAAUUCUGCCAAUUAAAAUAUUUCAGAUGCAAUUAUUAUAAUUAAGUAUUUUGCAACCCCUGUAGAUAGUUAUUUCAUGUAAUACACUUAGUUUUAUGAUUCUGACAACUGUGCAAUGACAAUUUAACUGGUUUAGUCUAGAGCCAGAAAAGCCUUAGUAGUGCUAAUGAGCAAAUGUGUUUCUCUUUCUAUGAUACUACUCUUAUAGUAGCUUAUUAUUGCUAUGUCCUCAUACCCAGAGUUGUACAGGCCGAAUAAAUGACACCUGUAUUUUGUUUUAUUCUAAAGGGAUAUAAAGCCCUUUUUUCAUGAUUCAGAUAGAUAUUGUGAUUUUAAAUAACUUUUCAAUUUACUUCUAUUAUUUUAUUUGUUCUUUUGAUAACCUUUUUUGAAAUGUAUUCAUAGGUAGACUCAGUUGCUGCUGAUUGGUGGCUGCAUAUAUACGCCUCUUUUCCUUGGCUUUCAGCUAGCUCCCAGUAGUGCAUUGCUGCUUCAUCCACAAAGGAUACCAAAAGAAUGAAGCAAAUUAGAUAAUAAAAGUAAAUUUGAAAGUUGUUUAAAAUUGUAUUCUCUAUCUGAAUCAUGAAAGAAUAAUUUUGUGUUUCAUGUCCCUUGAGCUUCAGUUAUUCUUGUAGUGUGUAAAUGUGUGUGUGCGUAGUUUUUAUAUAGGAGAAUAUGACUUAUUACUUUGAACUAAUUUUCUUUACCAUGGUCCUUAUACAGAUUUGUAAUAUUAAUAUAUUAUAACAAACUGAAGCUACAUUACUAAAUAUUUUUAAUAUGAUUUUCAUACAUAUAUGUCUUUCUCUGAAGCACCUAUAAUAAUGUAGUAUCCAAAACAUUGUAUUCAUAUCUAGAAUUAUAUUGAAUGAUUUAGCAAACAGUGAUCAACAUUUUCUGCUAAUUCUAAAAUUGUGAUACUAAUCAGAAGCGUUGAUAGUAACCAAAGGCUCAUGUUGAACUACUUAUAAAUCAUCCUAAAUAUUUUUUUUUAUUAUUUAUUAGUUUUCAACUAAAGAAAGUCCUGUAGUGAUCGCUAUAAUGCUGGUCACAAACAAAUAUUCAUCUACUUGUUUAUAGACUUGUAUAUUAUUUAUGUGUGCAUCCCAGUCGUAUUAUUGGUGAACUGCAUGUUUAUUAACAUACUAACACCUGAAGACACACAGUAAAUUCAAACACUGAGUCUACAGCUUUGAUUAAAAAACGACUAACACCACUUACAAUUGACUAACAAACUAACCAGGAACUAAAGCAUGCUCUACUAACCCCAUCUACUAACCUUGCAGAGACACAGACAACUGUUGAGGUUACUGACUCUGCUGAUCUUUCUCUUCUAACUACUAAUAUGUUAACGGCAAGCUAACUAACCAUAACUGCUUGUUCUGUUAUUUGAUUUGUCUGGUGGCGUGGUACAAUUGAGUGUAAAAACUCAGAGGAAAAGAUGUGGUGCCUGCAAUGCUAAUUUACUAACCUUUUGUACUAAUACUGGCACUAACCCUUUUAAACUGACUGAGUGAUAUUUUCUAUGCAUUUUAUCAUUCAAGUACUAUCAAGAUUAAAAAAAGGACUUAUAUUAAACCAAACCACAACAUGUGGUACUAACACUUUCAUAUCAUUCUACUGACUGGGUUUAUUUGGUGAUAGAUUCUCAUUUGUUUGAGGUUAUGUAUCAAGUAUUAUGUUUUUAUCAUUUGCUAAAUUAUGUUUCCAGUUAUGUUUUUUGUGGUACCUUUAAAUUAGACGCAAAACUGCAUUUCUGGAAAGAUUGUACAUUUAUGUAAUGGGGAUCUAAUAUGGUCAGCUAUCUAUUGAUUAAUUAGAAAGCAUGCCAUUUUUAAUCGUUUUAACUCAAUACAGUACCAGUGGCACAGUUUCAAUAUAUAUUUAAAAAUAAUUUACAAGUAAUGUCAGGGAUGCUUUAUUGAUUGAAAUCUGAUUUUGCUUCAGUUGAAGGACAAUUUUUAUGCAACAAAGAAAUUACUUACUUGAUCCCUUGUGGGUAAGAUAUGUAAGAGAAGGGUUCAUAUUUUUGUAAUGCUUGAUACAUUGCCUCCCACUCCAAUAAAAAAGCUAAUUAUUAAAAAAAAAUUGGGAAAAUUCCUGCAGGUAAAAAACAUUUUUAUGUUGUGACUCUAUGGGUUGCUUUUAAUACUGUUGUAAAAUGAAAUUAUGAGCUAUUUUAUUGUAUUAUCAAUAAGAUGUGUACUUUCUUAUUAUGAUGAAAUUA